UUUCCCCUGCGGGAUUUGUGCUUGGUAUCCGCUAUUUUAGAACCGAUAUUUUAAAAUAGGGGAUUAUCCCUUGCUGCGGUGUGCAUGCCUCCACCGUAUGGUUUGGAGGAAGCCUAAAGCAGCGAUAUGAUCACCCACCUGUAAAGGUCGGGUUCAUAAAUACCGAUGCCACACGGUUCAUGCGGGGGAUUU
rnacentral:other from 1 species